rnacentral:rRNA from 1 species
UACGUAGGGGGCGAGCGUUGUCCGGAUUUAUUGGGCGUAAAGAGCGUGUAGGCGGCCAGGUAGGUCUGCUGUGAAAACUCGAGGCUCAACCUCGAGACGUCGGCGGAAACCAUCUGGCUAGAGUCCGGAAGAGGAGAGUGGAAUUCCUGGUGUAGCGGUGAAAUGCGUAGAUAUCUGGAGGAACACCGGUGGCGAAGGCGGCAUCCUGGACCAAUACUGACGCUGAGGAGCGAAAGCCAGGGGAGCAAACGGG